AUGCAGUCGAGCGGUAAGGCCCUUCGGGGUACACGAGCGGCGAACGGGUGAGUAACACGUGAGCAACCUGCCCCUGACUCUGGGAUAAGCGGUGGAAACGCCGUCUAAUACCGGAUACGACCUUCCACCUCAUGGUGGAGGGUGGAAAGUUUUUUCGGUCAGGGAUGGGCUCGCGGCCUAUCAGCUUGUUGGUGGGGUAACGGCCUACCAAGGCGAUUACGGGUAGCCGGCCUGAGAGGGCGACCGGCCACACUGGGACUGAGACACGGCCCAGACUCCUGCGGGAGGCAGCAGUGGGGAAUAUUGCGCAAUGGGCGAAAGCCUGACGCAGCGACGCCGCGUGGGGGAUGACGGCCUUCGGGUUGUAAACCUCUUUUACCACCAACGCAGGCUCCGGGUUCUCUCGGGGUUGACGGUAGGUGGGGAAUAAGGACCGGCUAACUACGUGCCAGCAGCCGCGGUAAUACGUAGGGUCCGAGCGUUGUCCGGAAUUAUUGGGCGUAAAGAGCUCGUAGGCGGCGUGUCGCGUCUGCUGUGAAAGACCGGGGCUUAACUCCGGUUCUGCAGUGGAUACGGGCAUGCUAGAGGUAGGUAGGGGAGACUGGAAUUCCUGGUGUAGCGGUGAAAUGCGCAGAUAUCAGGAGGAACACCGGUGGCGAAGGCGGGUCUCUGGGCCUUACCUGACGCUGAGGAGCGAAAGCAUGGGGAGCGAACAGGAUUAGAUACCCUGGUAGUCCAUGCCGUAAACGUUGGGCGCUAGGUGUGGGGACUUUCCACGGUUUCCGCGCCGUAGCUAACGCAUUAAGCGCCCCGCCUGGGGAGUACGGCCGCAAG
rnacentral:rRNA from 1 species